rnacentral:rRNA from 1 species
AACGAACGCUGGCGGCAUGCCUAACACAUGCAAGUCGAACGAGACCUUCGGGUCUAGUGGCGCACGGUUUCGUAACGCGUGGGAACCUUCCCUUAUGUUCGGAAUAACUCCCCGAAAGGGGUGCUAAUACCGGAUAAUGUCUUCUGACCAAAGAUUUAUCGCCUUUGGAUGUGCCCGCGUUGGAUUAGCUAGUUGGUAGGGUAAAAGCAUACCAAGGCGACGAUCCAUAACUGGUCAGAGAGGAUGAUCAGCCACACUGGGAGUGAGAAACGGCCCAGACUCCUACGGGAGGCAGCAGAGGGGAAUAUUGGAAAAUGGGCGAAAGGCUGAUGCAGCAAUGCUGCGUAAGUGAUGAAGGCCUUAGGGUUGAAAAGCUCUUUUAACCGGGAUGAUAAUGACAGUACCGGGAGAAUAAGCUCCGGCUAACUACGUG